ensembl:processed_transcript Gm10575 predicted gene 10575
GUGGAAUGCUGGUUGGCAUGCCACACCCCUCUGGUCCCAAGCUGACCCCUCACCCCUGUGGCUCCUGGUUGAGGACCCCAAGACCCUUUUAGAACAAAAUCAAGGCUGGGGAGGUGCAGAUGCCAACCCCCACCCCGCCCGGAGUAUCCAGACUUAGGGUGCCAAGAAGUGUUGUGUAGGAAAAUGCGGAGCAGGAAAUAAACCAAAUACUUUCAGUGGCUGUA